rnacentral:rRNA from 1 species
UCAAGAACGAAAGUCGGAGGUUCGAAGACGAUCACAUACCGUCGUAGUUCCGACCAUAAACGAUGCCAACUGGCGAUCCGGCGGCGUUAUUCCCAUGACCCGCCGAGCAGCCUCCGGGAAACCAAAGUGUUUGGGUUCCGGGGGGAGUAUUGUUGCAAAGCUGAAACUUAAAGGAAUUGACGGAAGGGCACCACCAGGAGUGGAGCCUGCGGCUUAAUUUGACUCAACACGGGGAACCUCACCCGGCCCGGACACGGGAAGGAUUGACAGAUGGAUAGCUCUUUCUCUAUUCCGUGGGUGGUGGUGCAUGGCCGUUCUUAGUUGGUGGAGUGAUUUGUCUGGUUAAUUCCGAUAACGAACGAGACUCCGGCAUGCUAACUAGUUAUGCGGCCCCGUGCGGUCGGUGCCAACUUCUUAGAGGGACUGGUGGCUCUCAGCCACACGAGAUGGAGCAAUAACAGGUCUGUGAUGCCCUUAGAUGUCC